ACUUGGUCAAAAUGAAGACAUGUGCUGUGGAGGACAUCAGCAAGAGUGGGCAGAUGGCCAGGUCAGUGGUGUCCUGUAGUCCCAGCCACCUUGGAGGCUGAGGCUGAGCCUGGGAGUUUGAGGCAACUUGGACAACAGAGACCCCAGUUCGUAACUUUUUUUUUAAAGUGAAAAGACAGCUCAAGUAUUUGCAAAUAGUUUAUGGUAUGGAAUGAGGGUCUCAUUUCCAGAAUAUGUAAAAACUCUUAGUAUUCAAUAAUAAAAAGGAACCCAAUUUAUGUGCAGACGGUCUGGACAGGCCUGUGUUCGGCAUGACCCCUCCAGGUGCGUCCUGGUGCAACACGUGUGGGAUCCCUUCCUUCUGAAGGUUGGGUCCUACUCGGGUGCGUCAUGGACCACAUUUUAUUCCCUAGUCAUCUGGCGAUGGUCAUUUCACUGCUACUAUGAGCACCUGUGUACAAAUAUCUGUUGGGUCCCCGCUGUCCCCUCUUGUGUGUGCCUACCUGGGGGCGGGACUGCUGGUGGGGUGAUCGCCACGGCAGCACCCUCUCCAUUCCCACCAACAAGGCAUCUAAGUUCCAGCUCCACCUCCGGCCAACACUGGCUGGUUGUAGAAUUCGUUUUAAUGACAGCCUUCCAGAUGAGUAUAAAGUGGUAUCGCUUUGUGACUUGUGGUCUUUUGGGGUUUUUUUUAGAACAAAAUGUGUAUAUUUCUAUUGGAACCCCUGACACAGAAGGUACUGGGUUGCGGAUGGAUCCUAUGAAUGGCAGAUAAUAAACAGGG
rnacentral:lncRNA from 1 species